UUACAGGGGAGGUGCUGUCCAUUUUUCCCCAAAUUUGUGAGGAUUUCACCCAUCCAAGUGCACCAAAGCUAUUGCUAGUAUCAUCUUCUUCAGGGAGUUUUCAGUUCUACUCCAGAUGGACCGGCAAUGGAUGCACGGAAGCCGGAGCACCUCAGCGUGGAUUCAGGGUUUAG